CCUACGGGUGGCUGCAGUAGGGAAUUUUGCGCAAUGGGCGAAAGCCUGACGCAGCCACGCCGCGUGAUCGAGACGCCCUUCGGGGUGUAAAGAUCUGUCAGUGGGGACGAUACUUGACGGUACCCACAGAGGUAGCACCGUCUAACUCCGUUCCAGCAGCCGUGGUACUACGGGGGGUGCAAGCGUUGUCCGGAAUCAUUGGGCGUAAAGCGUUCGUAGGCGGCACGGAAAGUCUGUUGUUAAAGGCAGAGGCUCAACUUUAGUACGGCACUGGAAACUUGCGAGCUAGAAUGCGGUAGAGGUAAAGGGAAUUCCUGGUGUAGCGGUGAAAUGCUUAGAUAUCAGGAGGAACAUCGGUGGCGUAAGCGCUUUACUGGGCCGUAAUUGACGCUGAGGAACGAAAGCCAGGGUAGCAAACGGGAUUAGAUACCCCUGUAGUC
rnacentral:rRNA from 1 species